CCUCCCAGCUGGUCUCUGGCUGGCUUUUCUCCCCUUCCCCCUCAGAGUGCUCUGUCCCUGCCUCAUGCUGCUCUCUUACUGCUCAGCUGAUCAGGCAGAAGCCUGUUUUUUUUCACGUGUCCAGACCCCAAACAGGAAGAAAGUGCUGCAUGUGAUCAUUGCCUUGGCUGUGGUUGGGCCUAGUUGGUCAUAGAAGGAAGCUGCUCUCGGAGCUGUUAAGAGCUGCCUCUCAGGGCAAGAGAACUGGUUGACCACUGCUGAGGAGAGGGAGGUGGCACUGGCAAAAGAGGGAGGGACAACCUGAAAGCAGAGACCAGGUCUGGCAAAGGUCUGAGCCUGGAGGGUUGCAAGGAGCAACACAAGACCAAAUGAUUGGAAGCGUUCUUAAGAGAUUUGAGCAACAAGAGGUGCCCCCUUACUGCACUCAGAAUGGGCUGCCUACCAAGCAGGAACAGUAUGGAGCCAAGCAACUGCCUGCAAACCAAACGUAGCGAGUCCAGUGGAUCGGACCAAAGAGCAAGGUUCUCGGAAAACCCUUUGGACAACACUUCCACCUGUCACAAAAUGUGCCUGCUAAGCAGGCUGCAAAGGAAGGCGUAAAUGUUUCAAAAGUGGUCUCAACUGCACUGGACACUGGACUGUGUACAUGCUUGAAUUAGAAAGCUAUUCAAUCUGUGAAUUUUGUUUCAUUAACUCAUAACCUGUCCCACCCCACCCCCACCACCACCCCUACAAAAUUUCAGGAAUGUGUUAUAUAUUACAGUUCAGUUGAACCAUAUCUUAAUGUUAAAACAUUGCUUCUUACGAUUCAGAUAUAUUAUUUCACUUUCAUAAGAAAUCUCUGUCUUUUAUUUCAAUAAUCCAUGAAUUUUUCUUCACUGCUUAGCUUUGCUCUUAAAGCUCUACUCAGCUGAGUUUAACUGCAUAGUAAUGUAAACAUUAUGAUUCAGAUGCAUUCGUUCAAUUUCCUAAGGUAUGUGUUAUGAUGUAAAUACUGAUUAAAUUCCAUCCAAUUAAAUAUUACAUGCCAUUUGAAUGCUACUUUCUCAAUUCAAGCCUGUGAUGAAUAUUGUUAUAUAGGUAGCCACCUAAACAUAUCUAUAUCUUUAUGCUUUAUGACAAAGUAUAUAUAAUUAAUUACACACACACACACACACACACAGUCUUUUACACUAUAUUUAAAAGAUGCCAUAUUUGAGUUCUGCAUGUAGAACCUUUUAAACUAAUAUUUGUGAUUUAUUCAACGUUCAUGCCAUUUUCCAUAUUUGUCAAUGCAAAAAAAGAAAAGAAAAGAAAAGCAAUAGCAUUGGGUUUUUCAAACUGGAGCAUAAGCAUACUCUUCUGUAACGGAUUUGCAUGUGCCGUUGUAUAGGCACCACUGUUGAU